rnacentral:rRNA from 1 species
UGCGGAGGGAUCAUUACACAACAAAAAUAUGAGGGUGUGGUUUGCUGGCAACAGCGUCCGCCCCAAGUAUUUUUCACCCAUGUCUUUUGCGCACUUUUUGUUUCCUGGGCGAGUUCGCUCGCCACCAGGACCCAACCAUAAACCUUUUUUUAUGCAGUUGCAAUCAGCGUCAGUAUAAUAAUUCAAUUUAUUAAAACUUUCAACAACGGAUCUCUUGGUUCUGGCAUCGAUGAAGAACGCAGCGAAAUGCGAUACGUAGUGUGAAUUGCAGAAUUCAGUGAAUCAUCGAAUCUUUGAACGCACAUUGCGCCCUUUGGUAUUCCAAAGGGCAUGCCUGUUCGAGCGUCAUUUGUACCCUCAAGCUUUGCUUGGUGUUGGGCGUCUUUUUGUCUCUCCCCUUGUUGGGGGAGACUCGCCUUAAAACGAUUGGCAGCCGACCUACUGGUUUUCGGAGCGCAGCACAAAUUUGCGCCUUCCAAUCCACGGGGCGGCAUCCAGCAAGCCUUUGUUUUCUAUAACAAAUCCACAUUUUGACCUCGGAUCAGGUAGGGAUACCCGCUGAACUUAAGCAUAUCAAUA